rnacentral:rRNA from 1 species
GGGCCCGCACAAGCGGUGGAGCAUGUGGUUUAAUUCGAUGCAACGCGAAGAACCUUACCAGGGUUUGACAUGCUGGUAGUAGAAGCCCGAAAGGGUGACGACCUUCGGUUUUCCGAGGGAGCCAGCACAGGUGCUGCAUGGUUGUCGUCAGCUCGUGUCGUGAGAUGUUGGGUUAAGUCCCGCAACGAGCGCAACCCUUACCCUUAGUUGCGACCAGGUUAAGCUUGAGCACUCUAAGGGGACUGCCGGUGACAAGCCGGAGGAAGGUGGGGAUGACGUCAAAUCCGCAUGGCCCUUAUGUCCUGGGCGACACACGUGCUACAAUGGCCAGUACAGAGGGUUGCUAACCCGCGAGGGGGAGCCAAUCCCAAAAAGCUGGCCUCAGUUGGGAUUGCAGGCUGCAACUCGCCUGCAUGAACGCGGAAUCGCUAGUAAUCGCGUAUCAGCUACGGCGCGGUGAAUGCGUUCCCGGGCCUU